rnacentral:rRNA from 1 species
AUUGAACGCUGGCGGCAUGCCUUACACAUGCAAGUCGAACGGUAACGGGCCUUCGGGUGCCGACGAGUGGCGAACGGGUGAGUAAUACAUCGGAACGUGCCCGAUCGUGGGGGAUAACGAGGCGAAAGCUUUGCUAAUACCGCAUACGAUCUACGGAUGAAAGCAGGGGACCGCAAGGCCUUGCGCGGACGGAGCGGCCGAUGGCAGAUUAGGUAGUUGGUGGGAUAAAAGCUUACCAAGCCGACGAUCUGUAGCUGGUCCGAGAGGAUGAUCAGCCACACUGGGACUGAGACACGGCCCAGACUCCUACGGGAGGCAGCAGUGGGGAAUUUUGGACAAUGGGCGCAAGCCUGAUCCAGCCAUGCCGCGUGCAGGAUGAAGGCCUUCGGGUUGUAAACUGCUUUUGUACGGAACGAAAAGCCUUCUUUUAAUACAGGAGGGUCAUGACGGUACCGUAAGAAUAAGCACCGGCUAACUACGUG